rnacentral:tRNA from 1 species
GUGGUCGUAGCUCAAUUGGUAGAGCAUCUGCCUGUGGCGCAGAAGGUUGUGGGAUCGUGACCCAUCGACCACCCCA